rnacentral:tRNA from 1 species
GCCGCUAUAACUCAGUGGUAGAGUAGUUGUUUCGUAAACAACAAGUCAGCGGUUCGAAUCCGCUUAGCGGCUCCA